GCACUUCUGAGGAGUUUCAUACUAGGACGAAACGGCCGUCCAGUAC
rfam:Schistosoma mattheei strain Denwood, Zambia genome assembly, scaffold: SMTD_scaffold0011844